GACCGCGAGAGGAGAGAGGGAGGACAUUUUCCGGGAUUGGAAAGCGCACGCAAAGUUUCAUGUAAAUCCUGAUUUACUUUAACUCAAGAGGAGGACGUAUCUACAUCUCACAACCUCGUUUUUCUUCUUUUCAAAGGUGUUUACCUCCCACCCCGCCCCACCACGGCCCUCACCUGUGUGUUGCGGUGCUUCCCCUGUGAGCCGACCUGGGCCGGCAGCCCCUUCUUGCACCGCCCGCCGACCCGGCCCAUGGUCACCAUGACGCGCUCCAAAACAUUCCAGGCCUACCUGCCCAGCUGCCAUCGCACCUACAGCUGUAUCCACUGCAGGGCGCACCUUGCCAACCACGAUGAGCUCAUCUCUAAGUCUUUUCAAGGAAGUCAGGGCAGAGCAUAUCUGUUCAACGCUGUGGUUAAUGUGGGAUGUGGUCCUGCAGAGGAGAGGGUUCUGCUCACAGGGCUCCAUGCAGUGGCAGACAUCUACUGUGAAAACUGCAAAACUACACUAGGGUGGAAAUAUGAACAUGCCUUUGAGAGCAGUCAGAAGUACAAGGAGGGCAAGUUCAUCAUCGAGCUCGCCCACAUGAUCAAGGACAACGGCUGGGACUGAGCAAACUGGAUAAUGGGUGAAUGGUGAAUGUGUGGGUGAAUGACUGACUUUGGUUUGCCAUUACCCUCUUAAACCCUGUUCUCCUGCAGACACACGUGCCCCUUGUCCUGGGGAUCAAGAGAGGAGGCCAUUCCGGGGGGUUUUGGGUGUCUGGAGGAGAGCGUGUGUGUGGCUGCCACCGGCACGUGGGAGCACACUGAGAUACAUGAAUGCAUACACAAGGAUCAGGGUCACGAGUUUACAGAGCUGAUGGGGCUUGCUUCACAUCUUGUCAGUGAGAAACUACCAUGCUGAUCUUUCCAAAUUCAGCUGAGAUUUGUACCAUCUGCCCCAGCGAGGAAGCCUGGCACGCGCAGAAGGCAGGAAUGGGAACGGAGAGAUCUCCGAAUGGAGCUCUGACAGACCUACUUAAACUAAUAAAUGGCAGAAAAAAGGGUUUACCUGUCCUGCUUUUUUUACAUCUCGAAUUAAUGAAAAAGUUCAACCAAAAAUGUCAAUUCUGUAAAAUAAUUUACUCACCCACAUGUUGUUCCAAAAUCUGUAUGACUUUCAUUUCUCAUUGCAUACAAAACAAGACAUUUUGAGUGUUCUGGUCACUCUUUUCAAGCUACUAAAAUAUAGGCAAAAGCACUAUAAAAGUUUCAUUAAUUUGUGUUGAUAUGGAAAAAUAUCUCCUUUUGUUUCCACUAUUGGUCGGCCGAUAUGGGUUUUUCAAUGGCUGAUAUCUAUUGAGCAUGAUGGCUGAUAUACUGUUAAUGCAGAUAAACAUAAUGCAUAUUAACAACAGCAUAUCAGACGUAAACAACAUUUCUACAGUGAAACAAACACUCAUUUUAUGCAAUAUUUUCUCAAAUUUGUUAAAACAUGAAUGACAUGAGGGUGAGUAAAUGAUGAUAUAAUUUUUAUUUUUGGGUGAACUAUCUCUUUAACACUGUGUUCUAACCAGGCCUGAUGUGCUAAAAGCUGGGUAGCCCCUCCCACAGUGACGUGUCAUUGGUCCAAAAUCCUGCUCCACAUAGCUACAGUAUAUAUUAAACAUCACCUGUGUUCUGAUUGGCUGUGACAUUUCGUGAGGCUUUUUCACAUUCAGUAUGGACAGACAAAUUGUCUGUUGCUAGAAUCUUAGCGCAACGCAUCUGAUUAUGACACGGUGUAACAUGAAUGUAAAUCUUUGUUAAUAUAUAUAUAUUUAUAUAAUUUUGUAUGUUUGUUUGUUUUUUUUUUUGGCUUGGUGGCAGAGAAUGGUAACAUGUAGGAUUGUGAAUAAUAAUGAACAAAACAAGCUCCAUUUUAUUUAUUUGUUGAACUGACAUGUGGUAAUAUACAAUAUGUGUAUAAACCUAUUUAUUCAUCGUAACAGCUGUUCAUGUGUGUCAGGGUCUAAAUUUUUGCUUUUGUUUAAAUUAUUCUGACUGUCAUCCAAGCAUUGCCACGCUUUAUACCUGGACACCAAAAUUUACUACUUUUUUACUCUGGUAAGAAGUUUCAGCGUAUUUUAUAAAUGGACGAGAGGAUCGCGAUAUUAUUGGAACUCUCAUUAACAUUUAUAUAAAAUAUAAAUAAAAGUGAAAUCUGAUUUAUUUGC